rnacentral:rRNA from 1 species
AUUGAACGCUGGCGGCAUGCUUUACACAUGCAAGUCGAACGGUAACAGGUUAAGCUGACGAGUGGCGAACGGGUGAGUAAUGCAUCGGAACGUGCCCGAUCGUGGGGGAUAACGCAGCGAAAGCUGCGCUAAUACCGCAUACGAUCUGAGGAUGAAAGCGGGGGACCGUAAGGCCUCGCGCGAUCGGAGCGGCCGAUGUCAGAUUAGGUAGUUGGUGGGGUAAAGGCUCACCAAGCCAACGAUCUGUAGCUGGUCUGAGAGGACGACCAGCCACACUGGGACUGAGACACGGCCCAGACUCCUACGGGAGGCAGCAGUGGGGAAUUUUGGACAAUGGGCGAAAGCCUGAUCCAGCCAUGCCGCGUGCAGGAUGAAGGCCUUCGGGUUGUAAACUGCUUUUGUACGGAGCGUAAAGGUUUGGCCUAAUAAGCUGAGCUCAUGACGGUACCGUAAGAAUAAGCACCGGCUAACUACGUGCCAGCAGCCGCGGUAA